CUGUAUGCAUAGUUAUCAUGCAUAGUAACUUCGCUAAUUUUCGACAGCAACAUUUCCAGACAGAAAAAAUACUAAAAAAUCCAGAAAAAUCUUGCUUGUAUUUUGCCACCCUUCUUCAAAGUAGCCGACAUACGGUCUCUCCUAUAAAAAUCUUUCUUUACUAAUUUGCAUAGUAACUCGCAUAGUGUUUUUUGCAUAGUAACUUCUAUAUACGUACGCACUAAUCGUGCAUAGUACGCUACACUAAUUAAUAUAUUUUUAGCGUCAGAAAAAUUCCCAAAAAAUACCCAAAAAAUUAUUAAAAUUUCAACUUUUUUUUUCUUACUCUCACUUUUCCUCUUAGAAAUUUUCUACAACUUAAUAUAUUACAUAAUCUGACCCAACCCCUAAUAUUUCCGCAUUUUCUAAAAUUCUCAAAAAAUCCCAAAAAUAUUGAAAAACUCCUUUUUAGGUUUUUGCUUCUUUCAAAGGUUUGUUUUUCCCUUAAUACCUUAGGGUUUUCAUAAAUAGACUAGGGUUUUCUCCAUAAAUUCUAGGGUUUUAUUUCUCACAGGGUUUUUAUCACAAUAGACUUGUAGUUUGUGUUUAACACUACUUCUAAACCUUUUCCUAAACCCUA
rnacentral:lncRNA from 1 species